rfam:Loxodonta africana unplaced genomic scaffold scaffold_44, whole genome shotgun sequence.
UAAAAGGCCCUUUUCAGGGCCGCCCACGAAAUCACAUAAAGGGCUG